UACGUAGGGCGCAAGCGUUGUCCGGAUUUAUUGGGCGUAAAGAGCGUGUAGGCGGUCAGGUAGGUCGGUUGUGAAAACUGGAGGCUCAACCUUCAGACGUCGACUGAAACCCCCUGGCUAGAGUCCGGGAGAGGAGAGUGGAAUUCCUGGUGUAGCGGUGGAAUGCGCAGAUAUCAGGAAGAACACCCGUGGCGAAAGCGGCUCUCUGGAACGGUACUGACGCUGAGGCGCGAAAGCGUGGGGAGCGAACAGG
rnacentral:rRNA from 1 species